rnacentral:rRNA from 1 species
UACAGGGGGGGCAAGCGUUGUUCGGAAUUACUGGGCGUAAAGGGCGCGUAGGCGGCCUAUUAAGUCGGACGUGAAAUCCCUCGGCUCAACCGGGGAACUGCGUCCGAUACUGGCAGGCUUGAAUCCGGGAGAGGGAUGUGGAAUUCCAGGUGUAGCGGUGAAAUGCGUAGAUAUCUGGAGGAACACCGGUGGCGAAGGCGGCAUCCUGGACCGGUAUUGACGCUGAGGCGCGAAAGCUAGGGGAGCAAACGGG